GAAUGCAAAGCCGAUCUGGACAAUAGUAGAUAUGGAGAUGAGACAGUACAAGCAUACCGCUUUUCCUGUGUGUCACAACUAGGCACACACACACACACACACACACACACACACACACACACACACACACACACACACACACACACACACACACACACAUUAACAUUGCAUUUCAACUUUACUAAUUUUUACUCCCCCGUAAAACAUUCUUCUUUCUUUUUCCCUUCUAAGCUUUUCCUUCCUCUCAAAACUGCAUUUCACGUGCUUACCUAACAAACACAUCCUGUAACACCCUAUAUCACUCGUUCUUUUUACCACAAAACACCCUAAAAUACCAUAAUUUUUCUCUCCUUUUUUAUUUAUUUAUUUAUUUUUCCUCUGUAACCUGCAUUUCACCUUCCUACCUAGUAAACACCCUGUCAGUUUCCUCAGGGUGCGUCAGAUUCCCUUGGCCAGACAGAAAUUAAUGCUGGCCUCUAAUGCACCUCAACACAGCGGCAAGUUUGAGAGGAAGGACAAGAGGUUCACACUAACUAUAGACCAAACUACAGCCUUUGCAGAAUAUUGGGUUACUAUCAAGAAGCCAUGUUAUUAGGUAUAGUGUGUGUGUGUGUGUGUGUGUGUGUGUGUGUGUGUGUGUGUGUGUGUGUGUGUGUGUUUUAGUUCCUUAUCCCUUUCUUUUACUCCUGUCAUCACCUUUUGUUGAUUCUACUUUUAUGUUUCUUAAUUUUCUUUUUCUAUGUCUCCUAAAAAGUGCACUUUACAAUGUGUAAUCAAGUGUGCGGCACCAGGUCAGACAGGUGAGGAUGUGAAGACAUGGUAACACUGCUGCUGACUGAUGUUUCCUUUUAUUCACUCGCUCAUUGCUCUACAUAUCCCCUUUUUGUUUUGAAAUGUGUAACAAUCUUGUAUUUCAAACAAUACCUUCACUUGAACAUAAGGUAUUAGGUUAUUUGCGUACAUAUUACUUGGUAUCUUACAGUUUUGUGUGAAAUAAAAUAAAUUUGUCUAGUGUUCUACAGUGAGACAGGAGGACACAGACCAAUCAGUGAGUGGGCGUCAGUGAAUGUUGCUUCCUUUGUCCUCACCUGCCUGAACUACUACUGCCUUGCCCUCGAUGGCACACACCGCACUGGAGUGACUGCUUCUUGCGUCCCUCCUCCGCCGAGUGACACACGUGGCCAGGGUGCCAAGUUGGAUUCAAACCUUUAUUCCAGCUCACACUAGCAAAUAUAAAAAUGAAAUAUGUUUAUAGCAUUUUUCUCUUCAGAGUAAGAUGUUCCCUCUUGCCUGAGAAUGUUACAAAGGUCGUGUGUCACUCUCAGGUGUGCCGGCCACUUCCAUCACCUUUUCAUUGAAUAACUAUUUACAAUAUCUGGCGUGGAGGUGAUGUAAUGUAUUCUACUAGGUAUUAUAAAAAGAAUGUUUAUUAUAUUGUAGUUAUUGAACAUUGAAUGGCUCUUAAGGGAUAAAUAAAGACUGUUGUGUCGUGGUAUUUAUUGCCAAGCCUGGAGUGGCGCGUGAGGAUCACACACGCAGUGAAUGAGGCCAGAGUGUUCCAGAAGUGGUGUGGGUGGUGACCCUUUCCACCGCCCCCUUCAUGAGUGGCUCCCUCACCCAUGUCUUGUGCCCCACACACGCCAGUUGGCCGUUCAUUGUGUGGAUUCAAAAAUGCAACUAACAACACCUCUAAGUAACAUUACACAUACCAUUCAACUCAUAAUGAACGCAAAAAUAUAGACAAUUGCCCACACAAAAUUUCAAAAGGACGUUCUUUAGUAAUGGAAUGUGCUACAAUUCAUCUUUCUCCACAUAAGGGCCUGUCCUGUACUCCUGUGGAACCUCCUCCUCCUUGGUGGCCUUCCUGUAGAAACCUUUCUUGGUCACCAGCUGGUUGAUCUCCUCCUGUGACAUCUUCCUGAGGUCGAUGCGCUGCAACUCCUCAGUGUACUUGUUGAGCAGCACCAGCUCUGGAGUUGCUCCCUGAACGUGCUUGAACAUCACGUUGUGGCUGUCACCUUGUCAAGGGGAAAUGUUGCUUGGGAUGUUAGUGCACUACUGAAACUUUGGUCUGCCUCGCAUGGCUUGCUCAGUGUGACAUUGUGUCAUCGGAAAACGAUGUGUUGUACUUGGAAUGACGUUAUUGAUAAAUGCAAUGGCUUUAAAGAACUCAGUGUCAGGAAUAUUGAUGUUCAUAGUGUUAAACCUACAGUUCUACAAUUCCGGGACAGGACAAAGGCCGCUUCAAAGUCUUUCCUGGCAAGUAGUGGUAACAAAAGGAUACAAGAGUGGCAGAUCCUGGAGGACGAAGCUCUUCACCCCAGGAUACUUGCUCAGGUUGUUUCAGAAGUUACACGUCUGCGGAGAAGAGCAAACAUCUGAAGCGAAGCAUGAUGGCGCGAGCAUUGGUCUUGGCAGCUCUCUUCCAAGGGGUCUUGGUCUUGGCGGCGAGCGACGCGGUGACGGAUACAGGUGUCUACAAGGCAGCUGUAAAGACCUUCGCCGGAUGAGUGCUGAACAGAUAUCCAGAGGUGAAGCAGUUCGUCAUCCUGGAUAUGAAGUUCUAUCAUAACGUGGAGUGGCAGCAGGAAGAUGACGCGGAGCCUGAGCUGCUGCUACUCAACAAGGACGGCGAGGUGGUGCAGCGCUUUGACAUCCGGCAAAUGAAGCGCGGGGAGAUCGGUCAGCUGCUGCGCAAGAAGGGGUUUUUCAAGAAGGGGAAGGAGGACAUGGAGAUCCCGAAUAAGUACAAGACAGGUCCCUACGUGGAGAAGGAUGAACUGUAAACAAUGUAUCAUUAAUCAACUCCCUUCAGGAACUUUGUAGAAACAGUUAUUUAUAUUUUCACAUUCAAAAUUUUAGAGCUGAGGUGAAUCUGCAACGGUACUUAGAGAUGUUGUUAGUUACAUUUUAGAAGCCACGUGGAGAAGGAUGAACUGUAAACAUUGGGUCCCUAAACAACACCCCUCUGAGAUUGUUUGUGGACAAUCAAUAUUUUUGCAUUCGUUAUCUGAGAAAUGAAUGGUAUGUAAAUGUUGUAUAUCUAGCUGUCUUCUACCGCUAUUUUCAUACUAACUGCUCUUCUGAUCUUGCUAACUGCAUGCCUCCCCUCCUUCCGCGGCCUCGCUGCACAAGACUUUCUUCUUUCUCUCAACCCUAUUCUGUCCACCUCUCUAACGCAAGAGUUAACCAGUAUUCUCAAUCAUUCAUCCCUUUCUCUGGUAAACUCUGGAACUCCCUGCCUGCUUCUGUAUUUCCACCUUCUUAUGACUUGAAUUCCUUAAAGAGGGAGGUUUCAAGACACUUAUUCAUCAAUUUUUGACCACUGCUUUGACCCUUUUAUGGGACUGGCAUUUCAGUGGGCAUAUUUUUUUAUUGGAUUUUUGUUGCCCUUGGCCAGUGUCCUUCCUACAUUAAAAAAAAAAAAAAAAUGUUACUUAAAGGUGUUGUUGGUUACGUUUUUUGAAGCCAUAAAAUGAACAGCCAACCUGGCGUGUGUGGGGCACAAGGCAUGGGUGAGGGAGCCACUCAUGAAGGGGGCGGUGGAAAGGGUCAUCACCCACACCACUUCUGGAACACUCUGGCCUCAUUCACUGCGUGUGUGUGUUCCUCACGCGUCACUCCAGGCUUUGCAAUAAAUACCGUGACACAACAGUCUUUAUUUAUUCCUUAAGGUCCUUUCGGUGUCCAGUAUUAAUGCAUUACGUGACGGCGUCGUAAUUCAGCCAAUAUCUCUAUUUCCAUAAGUUACACUGCACUGGACCAGAGGGGGUAGAACUCGUGGCUGGAGAGGCUAAGUCAGUAUCACGCCCCACCAACCUAAGGUUUAAUAAAAGUGAUAACCAGCA